rnacentral:rRNA from 1 species
GACGAACGCUGGCGGCGUGCUUAACACAUGCAAGUCGAACGGAAAGGCCCUGCUUUUGUGGGGUGCUCGAGUGGCGAACGGGUGAGUAACACGUGAGUAACCUGCCCUUGACUUUGGGAUAACUUCAGGAAACUGGGGCUAAUACCGGAUAGGAGCUCCUGCUGCAUGGUGGGGGUUGGAAAGUUUCGGCGGUUGGGGAUGGACUCGCGGCUUAUCAGCUUGUUGGUGGGGUAGUGGCUUACCAAGGCUUUGACGGGUAGCCGGCCUGAGAGGGUGACCAGCCACAUUGGGACUGAGAUACGGCCCAGACUCCUACGGGAGGCAGCAGUGGGGAAUAUUGCACAAUGGGCGGAAGCCUGAUGCAGCAGCGCCGCGUGCGGGAUGACGGCCUUCGGGUUGUAAACCGCUUUCGCCUGUGACGAAGCGUGAGUGACGGUAAUGGGUAAAGAAGCACCGGCUAACUACGUG